UACGUAGGGGGCUAGCGUUAUCCGGAAUUACUGGGCGUAAAGGGUGCGUAGGUGGUUUCUUAAGUCAGAGGUGAAAGGCUACGGCUCAACCGUAGUAAGCCUUUGAAACUGGGGAACUUGAGUGCAGGAGAGGAGAGUGGAAUUCCUAGUGUAGCGGUGAAAUGCGUAGAUAUUAGGAGGAACACCAGUUGCGAAGGCGGCUCUCUGGACUGUAACUGACGCUGAGGCUCGAAAGCGUGGGGAGCAAACAGG
rnacentral:rRNA from 1 species